rnacentral:lncRNA from 1 species
CUUAGAUAUUGCUGAUGCGUCAGGACUCUGCUGUGAUUAUCUGCUUUCUUUGAGAUCACUCAAUGGCACAUCCACACAGAACCUUGGCUCACAUUUCACAUUUAUCUCCUUGCACCAUGUAGCUUCACAAUUGCUGCUGAAAAGGUGAUACCAUGAAGCCGCUCAGCACCCAUGCAUAGCACAAUCCAGAUGGUCAGUUAUCAUACUUCACGGGGCUCUUAAUAGCCAAUGGAGCUUCCAUACCACUUCUCUGGAGACGUUUCACAAACCUAAGCAAUCUGCUUAUUGUGAAGAUGUGGCCAGCUUAGUAAGAAGCAACUCCCAAGCUCACUGUACUGAGAGAUGAGAAUAAGAAAGGAUGAAGUUCUGUCACAUUCAGGAAAAAAUAUAUAGGGUGAACUGAGUGGUGCUUAUAAGCCUUUUCCCAUCCCCUAGGCAAUAUGGAGUUUGUCUAGCGAAGACUUGGACCAGAAGCGAAGAACUCUGCACAUCAGUCUGAAUCUGGGUGCUUGCUUUAUUGGUUAACAAAGACAGGAGACUUGAUUCUGUAAAGAACUGUACUCAUGGCUUCUUCCUGUGUUAAUGACAUGUAAGGAAUAAGACACUGCCUAAGCCCUUGAGGAACUAUGGCCUACAGCCGAGGAACACUUCCCAAUAAGCAGCUGCAACUAAAUGAGACGAUUGCUGUAAUGAUGUGUAUGCCAAGUGCAGUAGAGAGAGAAGAGGCACCUAAGUUUGCCUUAGGGGUGUCAAGUGCAGUGUCACAGAGAGUGCAGCAUUUGAGCUGAGAGUUUAAAAUGUAAGAAGUUGGUUAGAAUCCCAAGAGAGGAGCAUCCCAGGCAGUGCAUAGAGUCUGUAUAUUGGAUGAAAAUAUCGGGGAGCAAGGUUUGUCCUGGAUCUAUACAUAGUUCAAUAAUGUAGGAUUCAAAAUAGAAGUUAAUCUUGUUUUAGUCCAUUUUCUGUUGCUAUAAUGGAAUACCCAAGGCUGGGUAAUUUGUAGACAAAAAGAAAUUCCUCACACUUCUGGAAGCUGGAAGUCCAAUAUUAAGCUGCAGACAUCUGCUGAAGGCCUUCCAGCUGCAUCAUCUCAUGGCAGAAGGCAGAAGGACAAGAGCAUGAGAGAACAAGAGUCAAACUCACAGCCACAAGCCCUUUAAAACGAUCACUAGUCCAUUUAUGAGAGUGGAAUCUUCAUGGCGUCAACACCUCCCUAAUUUAGGCCAAACCUCCAAAUACUAGUGCACUGGGGACUACAUUCCAAACAUAUCUGUUUUAGGGGACUUAUUCAGACCAUAGCGGCAAAGGAAGGAGAGAGGAGGGCUAUGUGGUUGGAUCAGAAAACAAGACUUAGAUGUUGAAAAGCUAUUUUAUGUCCCAUCAAAGAGUUUACAUUUUUAUCCUGCAGGUGAAUGGAAAUCCACUGACACAUUUUGAGAAGGGGAAGACCAGCUUCAGUUAAGGACACAGCUGUAUGAUCUAUUGUUCCUAGGAAUGACUUCAAAUUUUCUCAUUACUGCAAGACAUUAAGUUGCCAAGAUAUGAUUUACUUUAGUAAGUGCCUUUUAUGUCAUCUACGUUGGAGAGUUUUUGUGACUGUUAUUUAAAUUUCAUUUUCCUGGCAAUCUGUCUCAGUGUUAAAAAACAAAGGAGAGACUCUACGUUGGAAUCGACUAAGCAGCCUAAAACAUUGAUAACUCGUUAGGCAGACACCACCAGGACAGACCGCACACCACGUGAACCGAGAGCAGCCACCUGGAAAAGCCGAGGCGAGAGGUGCUCCUUGGCACUGCCUUUCCAAAUGUGUUCCUAUCAGCUGCACACAUUUCUGAGUAUGUGGAGGCAAAGAGAAGACUACAGAAGUGGAAAAUUGGAAGGUGGAAAAAAAAUCCCCUCAGGCAAAGAUUUAAAGUUAAUUUUAAAGAAAGUUUAGGUGGAGGAUGCUUGCUGGAGUUUGAUAAAGACACUCAAAUGGGAACCAAGGCUCUCACCUUAAUGUCAGACCUGGAGAAUGAAACCAAAUGCAGAUGGAAUGGGAAAUUCAUCAACUGAGAAAAACAUUUUUGCAUCAUUCAUGAGUGUGGAUUUUCUAAGCUUACUGGAUGUACUGUGGUUAUUAAAGUGGCCUGCCAGAAUCAUGCACUGUAUGUUUGAAUGUUGACAGAGAAGGCAUUGUUACAAGAGGCUGUCUGAACACAAACAGAAAUUACUAACUAAUAAACUGUUGAAAUAGGAAGUACAUUUAUUUUCAAUUUAUAUUGCAGAGGUGAUGUGAAGACAAAAAUUGUAUUAUUAUUUUGGCUAUCGAACCCAUUGAUUUAAAAACACAUUCGAACUUCGAGAAUGAAGAAUGUUAGUAGCAUAUCUCUCCCAUAGAUCUAGUUGCUAUAAAGGUCUUACUUUUUCCUUCUUCUCUUCUAUUGGUGACAUCAUAGUUUCCUCAAUAUUUUUGCCAAGAAAUUCCCAUCUCAGGACUUUUAACUGCUAUUCUCUUUCCCUAGGAUAUUCUUUUGUUUUGUUUUCUUUUGAGAUGGAGUCUCGC